rnacentral:tRNA from 1 species
CAGAGAAUAGUUUAAUAAAAAUUUUAAUUUUGGAGAUUAAAGAUAAAAGUGAUUUUUUUUCUCUGA